rnacentral:lncRNA from 1 species
AGUUAAAAUUAUGUCAUGGUCAAGAGUGGUAUAGAAGGAGUCAUUAAGGGAAGAAAAAUGACCAUUCCUACUACCUGGGUUUUAGAAAACCAUGUUUAUUGGCCAAUAGGCAUUAAUGUUGUUCUAGCUUGUUUGUAGCAAUGGCCACCGAAGGACGACUGGAUUAAAUAUCCAAUUAUAAAAGUUAAGAUUCAAUCAGAUGACAAAAGUUUAUGUGAUGGCUUUGAUUUCACAUCUGACGAAGAAAAUAAAGAGUUGCUUAAUCUAAAAAAGCGAAAACUUCUAUUAGCUGCUAAAUGCGUUUCUCCUAUUGCACAAUCACAAUACCAACAACCGUUUAAAACUCCCAUUGCUUUGAUUCAUUCUUUGUUUACUAUAUCCCCAACUGCAUCUCAAUCCUCACUCUCUUUAUGUUCUACAUAUCAGAAAAAGACCAUUUCUUCUAUAAUCCUACACCCAAUUCAUCAACAUCCACUACAAUCAAAAAUACCUCGAAGAGUUAUAAGGACAUCCUUGUUAUCGCAGCUAAAUUCACCAUUAAAAACAUCUGUUUCAAAAAGGGAUCAACAAGAAAGAACAAAAAAUUCAAGUAUAGUAUUAAACAAGUUUCCAUUAACUGAAGCAAGAGUUGGAUAAUGGAUUGAAUGCAAAUUGUCAAUAUACUAGUUUAGUAAGUUUUAGUGUAAUUAUAUAUAGGUGCAACUUCCAGAUUUCCCUGUUAUAGAGCUUUUGUUGAUUUUCGGAAUCUAAUGAGGAAUUUUAAACACAAGUUACCAUAACAUGUUUCACAUAUGAAAUUCAAAUACUAUCAUUCAUCCUUAUCAAUAAAUUAUUGAAUUUUUUUUUUAACCCAACUUUCUAAAAUGGGUGGUGUCACAUGCUACGCAAAUGUUAAAGCAAUUCUUUUAAAGUAUGUAUCUGGAAAAUGUUUUUAUUGCUUAUUUUCCUAAUUAUAUUUUUAUCUGCAAAAUUAUACUCUACAUAAAAUAUUUGAAAUGAAUAACACAAGUUCAUAGCUGACAUGAUAACA